rnacentral:rRNA from 1 species
GACGAACGCUGGCGGCGUGCUUAACACAUGCAAGUCGAACGGUAAGGCCCUUCGGGGUACACGAGUGGCGAACGGGUGAGUAACACGUGGGUGAUCUGCCCUGCACUUCGGGAUAAGCCUGGGAAACUGGGUCUAAUACCGGAUAGGACUCCUGGCUUCAUGGUUGGGGGUGGAAAGCUUUUGCGGUGUGGGAUGGGCCCGCGGCCUAUCAGCUUGUUGGUGGGGUAAUGGCCUACCAAGGCGACGACGGGUAGCCGGCCUGAGAGGGUGACCGGUCACAGUGGGACUGAGAUACGGCCCAGGCUCCUACGGGAGGCAGCAGUGGGGAAUAUUGCACAAUGGGCGAAAGCCUGAUGCAGCGACGCCGCGUGAGGGAUGACGGCCUUCGGGUUGUAAACCUCUUUCAGCUAUGACGAAGCGCAAGUGACGGUAGUAGCAGAAGAAGGACCGGCCAACUACGUGCCAGCAGCCGCCGUAA